rnacentral:rRNA from 1 species
GACGAACCGUGCGAACGUUGUUCGGAUUCACUGGGCUUAAAGGGCGCGUAGGCGGGCGACCGAGUCAGGGGUGAAAUCUUUCGGCUCAACCGGAAAAGGGCCUCUGAUACUGGUCGCCUCGAGGGAGGUAGGGGCAUGCGGAACUUCCGGUGGAGCGGUGAAAUGCGCAGAUAUCAGGAGGAACACCGGUGGCGAAGGCGGGUCUCUGGGCCGAUACUGACGCUGGAGGAGCGAAAGCGUGGGGAGCGAACAGG